AUUUCACAAGAAAAAGAUAUUGAUUUGUUUUGGUUUUUCAACUUGGAGAGGCCUGAAAUUAGAGUUGAGUUUUCAACUUACCAAAUCGUAGAUGUAGCUGUCAUUUGCAAUUCUGGAACACAGAAAGUUGUUAAGAACUGGUCCCUAUCCCAUUCUUGUGCUGCCUUGAAAUAAUUCAAUGCUGAAAAUGCUUUCUUGGGGAUCCUCUUCAACAAGGUUCUGGACUGGCUUUUUUGGCUGAGGUGUCUUUGGUUGGACAUUUGGACAGAAAUUGCAAACCACUCGCUUCAACUUUAAAGGUUUGACAUCAUGGCUGCCUGCACAGACUAAGUUCCUGGAAUAGUGGGUAGAC